rnacentral:rRNA from 1 species
UACGGAGGGGGGCUAGCGUUGUUCGGAAUUACUGGGCGUAAAGCGCACGUAGGCGGCUUUGCAAGUUAGGGGUGAAAGCCCGGGGCUCAACUCCGGAAUUGCCUUUAAAACUGCAUCGCUAGAAUUGUGGAGAGGUAAGUGGAAUUCCGAGUGUAGAGGUGAAAUUCGUAGAUAUUCGGAAGAACACCAGUGGCGAAGGCGACUUACUGGACACAUAUUGACGCUGAGGUGCGAAAGCGUGGGGAGCAAACAGG